UAAGUCCCGCCUGGUCCCGCCUCCUCCUGAAAAGAGCUCAGUUGUCAAGGAACUAUUUUUCUUGCCGUCGUCCCAGAGAUGCCUUUGGAAAAGCGGAAGGGCACGGAGGGUUCUGGAGUUCGUUGCUGGCACCUGCGUGGUGUCAUGAGAACGUGGCGGGGCGCAGAUUCACACUACAAGGAAUACUAAAGGACGUUCUCCACAUUGAAGGAAAAUGAUCUAAAGAGAAACAGAUCUGUAAGAAGAAAUGAAGAGCACUGGUAAAGGGCAGCAGCACAUAAAUCAUACAUCAGUCAUCCAGUGAUACAAAGAGGUGGCCAAUUGUGUCUGAAGUAGUCACUUGUAAAGGAUCACAACCCAGGCAGUGUUGCUUUUCUGCAAACAGAAGGAAACAGAAGGCUCCAUGGUCCUUGAAGAUUAUCCAAGUUUUCCACUAGUUGUCAAGAUUUCUGUCCCAACCUCUUAGUCACCAUUUACAGCAAGAAGAGCCAGCAAGUGAAAAACUGUUAAUUUAUUGAUUCAAAGUUGUUUUUUUUCUUUUUAAAAAACAAUCCCCAAUACAUGCAGUUCAGGGUUAAGUAUCACAUUUGUAGCACAUUGUUGAGUCUCAAAACAAAAAUAUGCAUCACCUGUAUAAUCCCAUCACAUCUUUUUCCAGCCUCUACAAUACCUAGUUGGGGGUGUUUUCAUUUAUACAUCCACAUAGCUCAGAAGCAUGUUAUUAACGGUUGAUCUGGCCCGAUGCUUCUCCGCCACCUCCCCUGCCCUGGUCUCCACCUCGGGGUUAUUUUUUUCUAAAGGCAGGAUGUUACUCAGUCUUAAUUUAUUAAGAUCACUGACAAACUUUGGCUUCUUGUGUGCUCAUGUGGUCCCUGCUUUUGCUUUCGGAAGGGUUUAUAUUGAAACGACUGUGACUCUGAUCGGUUAUUAUCCCCUCAUUUUUUGUAGGAAAUAAGUUUGCUUGUUUCUGUGGGUGCUCACACAGUAACACAGGUUCCUAAAGUAACCAUUUAAUCUGAACUGGUAUUAAAGGAAACUGUUAACCAGGCUCUCUUAGAUCUAUUUCAGUUCAUAUAAAAAAACUCUUCCAAUUGUUGCUUGUGUCUCAAAGUAGUUCUGCUUCCAUCCUUAUCAACAGAGCACCUGGGAGAACCUAAGUCAUUUCCCUGAGUAGGCACAGACCACGAGCCCCGCGGCACCCAGCUCUCUCUGGGACUAAGCGCCUGACUCGAGAGCACCACCUUUCAGUCCACUGGGACCAAUCCAGUGGGCAGCGCCCUCCCCAGGGUACAUUCCAGAACAUAAACUUGGUACCCUCUAAUUUAUCCCCUCAAGAAGUUAAUUUCCUCCUCAAGAGCUACCUUUAGAUGGAUUUUCUUAUUGGUCCCUUUUCUUUUAACAGCCCUUCCCCUAGCCACUCUCUUCAAGUCCCCAAGGAUUACGAGUUUGUCUGUCUCCUCUAAUCUAUCAGUCUGAGAGCACCUUCCUCUCUGCAAGGGAACACAUUUGCUUUAAACCUUGUGAGUGCUGACAUGUUACAGAAUGUCUGGGAGGAGGCCUGGCUGAGUGACUGGUGUUUAAGUGCCUCAAUGAACGACAUCAGCGCUUCUCUAGUUGGUGAGAAGGCCCAGGAAAGCUUGGUCUGCGUCAUACACUCAAUAGCUUCUCCUACCCAGCCACCUACCCUGCCUACAGGGAUAGGAUGAAAGCAAGGCCAGCUGACAGCAUCCAGGGGAGAGUGAACUGCCACCACACCAGAGGUGCAAAUGUGACUCAGCACUUCAUGAGUUCUACUCUCACCAUGGGAUUUCUCAGCAGAAGCAAACCUUGCAGUCAGGCUCACUUGUAGCCAACAAAUGAUAUAGCCAUCUGGAUUUGGCAUAGGAACCUUUUGUUCUCACCAUACCAGGUCUAUGUUCUUGAACAUAGGCAGUACCUGAGAUGAUAGUAUAACACUACCCUGUUCCCCACAUUUUUUGCUUUUCUUUAGGAAAUAAUUAAGUCCUUAUCAUAGGCACUUUUAACCUGUUUAAGAUAAUGAAGCAAACAAAUGAAAAGUACUGAGAUGAGUUUAAGAAAGAAUAUGCUAACUGAAAAGGAUACUGGGUGCGUACAUUUACCAUGGUUUAGUCUAAAUAUUAGACACACAGACACACACACAGACACACACACAGACACACACACAGACACACACACAGACACACACACACCCCUUUUGGAACUCUCCAAGACCAUCUCCGAAUCUAGGUAAAUAGUCUUAAAAUUUCGGGGGAGCUAGGUUUGGAAACAAAAAUGGUUUUUGGAGACAGGAAAAGAGAUGGUCUGAAACUGGACUCACUUCAGUUUGGAAAGGAAUAGCCUAGGUGCCAAGACCAGACCCAGGAAGGGGUGAGCAUUUCAAGCCCAGUUAUGGUCUAAGUCUAAGGCAUGAAGAGAGGUAAAAGUCUAGGUGCUGGAAAAGCAAGCUGUGUGCUUCAAAGGAAGAAUGCCUGUGUCAAAGCUGCAGUUACAAAACCCCAGGACAAGGCAGGCAGGCGGUGUCUGCACCUACAUCACCGUCAGAGAGACAGGCAGAGGUCAAUCACCUGACUAUUCUCCUCCAGGUACUUUUAUUACCUUUGGGGGACCCAAGGGAAAGGAAUGGAGUUACCGCUUCACCAAGACCCUCCAGUAGGCACCUCUUGCCUGGUCCAGACAGGCAACUUAAAAAAAAAAAGGGAGGGCUGAGGAGUGGGGUGGGGUGAUAAAGGAGAUUGGAGGGGGAGCAGGAAAGACACGCAGUGGCACAUCUCCCUGAUGAUAACCAAUGCUUCAGGAUUGCCUAUAAGGGCAUAUUAGAAGGCUUUUGAUAAUCUCAAACACUGAGUUUUGCUGCCUGACAUAUCAAUACAGGUUUAGCCAAAGAGCUCACAUCUUGCUUUUGAUUUUCAGGUAGAACAAAUGUUUACAUUAGUAUACAGAAUGUGCAAUGCAAGCAGGCAGCAUUGGUAUGAGAACCUUAACUGAAUGCAUUCCUUGGCUUUGGGAUCUUAUUUAUUUUUUACUCUAUAAACUCAACUCUAUAAUAAGAGAAGAGUUUCAUUUGUAUUUUAAGUUCCCACAGACCAAACGACAAAAAUAGAAUCUACAUUUAGAGUAGGAUCUGCUACCAAUACCAAUAAGAUUUUAUUGGAAUAUGGAAUGUAAACAAAUGUUUCAAACAAACAUCUAACCUUAUAAAAAUGUAUGGCAUUAUUAAAUAGUUAAUAAAGAAAUCUUAAAGGGUGAUGUGGUAGACACCUCUAGUUCUAGCCUAGGUGUGUGAAGUCCCCACAGCUGUGGCAUGGCCCUGCAGCUGGGGUGAGGGGACUGCCUACAAACCAUGUUGCUCCUGAGUCCCCAAAAUGAAAUCAGCCCUAUUUUUGUUUAAACAAACUCUAGCUUUCUCUGCUAACAUGAAGGUUUGCAAAAUGGAUCCAACACUUGCUCCGGGAGCACCAUUUUCUUCCCCAAGCCCCUUGUAUAUUCCUCUGAGUUGCUUGAGUUUCAGAUGACCCUGCCCACACAACUCUAGUACCUGCAUGCAAGACAGACUUAUCUUUGCCAUCACAUAAAUGUAUCACAUAUCAGAACUUACAAAUGCAUAUUACCCUGAUUACAGUGGGAAACUGUGUCUCAUGGGGAUAAAAGGAGGUGGGAGAGAGAUAUUUUUUUCCAUAAGUCUUUCCUGAAAAAAUUCUAAUGGGAUGUUUUCCUCCCUCGCCUUGCCUGAAGACUGACUUUCCAGCUUUAGUUAUGGUUGUGAACAAAAAGGUCUCUGUUUCAGAGAGGUGCAUUAAAAUAGGCGCACACAUAGGGAUGUGCUGGGAAAUGGUGAAGUUCUCCUUACAAGGCUGCCAAAAAAAAAAAAAAAAAAAAAAAAGAAAAAGCAACAAAAAA
rnacentral:lncRNA from 1 species